GAUGAACGCUGGCGGCGUGCUUAACACAUGCAAGUCGAGCGAACAGACGAGGAUUUUGUUCCUCUCACGUUAGCGGCGGACGGGUGAGUAACACGUGGAUAACCUACCUAUCAUACUGGGAUAACUUCGGGAAACCGGAGCUAACACCGGAUAAUAUAUUGAACCUCAUGGUUCAAUAGUGAAAGACGGUUUUGCUGUCACUUAUAGAUGGAUCCGCGCCGCUUUAGAUAGUUGGUAAGGUAACGGCUUACCAAGGCAACGAUGCGUAGCCUACCGGCGAGGGGGAUCGGCCCCACUAGAGGGGAGACACGGAACAGACUACUAAGGGACGCAACAGAAGGGAGUGGAACACAAUGGGAGAAGGCCUGGCGGAGAACAGCCGCGUGAGUUAUAGAAGUCUUGGGAUCGUAAAACUCAGUUAUUAGGGAAGAACAAAUGUGUAAGUAACUAUGCACGUCUUGACGGUACCUAAUGAAAAAGCACCGGCUAACUACGUG
rnacentral:rRNA from 1 species